GCAAGUCGAGCGGUAAGGCUCCUUCGGGAGUACACGAGCGGCGUAAGGGAGGGUUACGCGUGGUUUACCUGCCCUAGGGUCCAGAAUAGCUUCGGGAAACUGAAGGUAAUGCUGGAUAAUAUCUCCGGAUCAAAGGUGAGAUUCCGCCCUAGGAGGGGACCGCGUUCUAUUAGCUUGUUGGUGGGGUAACGGCCUACCAAGGCUUUGAUGGAUACCGGGUGUGAGAGCAUGGCCCGGCUCACUGGGACUGAGACACUGCCCAGACACCUACGGGUGGCUGCAGUCGAGAAUCUUCGGCAAUGGGCGCAAGCCUGACCGAGCGACGCCGCGUGUGGGAUGAAGGCCUUCGGGUUGUAAACCACUGUCAGUUGGGAGGAAAUCCGUGGGGGCUAUCCCCCAUGGUUGACCUAUCUUCAGAGGAAGGACGGGCUAAGUUCGUGCCAGCAGCCGCGGUAAUACGAACCGUCCAAACGUUAUUCGGAAUCAUUGGGCUUAAAGGGUGCGUAGGCGGUGUGGUCAGUUGGGUGUGAAAUCCCUCGGCUCAACCGAGGAACUGCGCCCAAUACUGCCACACUCGAGGGAGACAGAGGUAAGCGGAACUGAUGGUGGAGCGGUGAA
rnacentral:rRNA from 1 species